rnacentral:ncRNA from 1 species
CGGGACCCGAAAGAUGGUGAACUAUGCCUGAGCGGGGCGAAGCCAGAGGAAACUCUGGUGGAGGCUCGAAGCGAUACUGACGUGCAAAUCGUUCGUCUGACUUGGGUAUAGGGGCGAAAGACUAAACGAACCAUCUAGUAGCUGGUUCCCUCCGAAGUUUCCCUCAGGAUAGCUGGAGCCCAUUACGAGUUCUAUCAGGUAAAGCCAAUGAUUAGAGGCAUUGGGGACGCAACGUCCUCGACCUAUUCUCAAACUUUAAAUAGGUAGGAUGGCUCGGC